AUUGAACGCUGGCGGAAUGCUUUACACAUGCAAGUCGAGCGGCAGCACGGGGGCAACCCUGGUGGCGAGCGGCGAACGGGUGAGUAAUACAUCGGAACAUGCCCAGUCGUGGGGGAUAACACUUCGAAAGAAGUGCUAAUACCGCAUACGUCCUGAGGGGGAAAGCGGGGGAUCGCAAGACCUCGCGCGAUUGGAGUGGCCGAUGUCAGAUUAGCUAGUUGGUGAGGUAAAGGCCUACCAAGGCAACGAUCUGUAGCUGGUCUGAGAGGAUGAUCAGCCACACUGGGACUGAGACACGGCCCAGACUCCUACGGGAGGCAGCAGUGGGGAAUUUUGGACAAUGGGGGCAACCCUGAUCCAGCCAUUCCGCGUGAGUGAAGAAGGCCUUCGGGUUGUAAAGCUCUUUCGGCAGGAACGAAACGGUGAGCUCUAACAUAGCUUGCUAAUGACGGUACCUGAAGAAGAAGCACCGGCUAACUACGUG
rnacentral:rRNA from 1 species